ACUCUUUUGGCAGGAAACUGAUUUCCAAAUGUUACAAUAGAAGGAAGUGAGUUCAAACUCUCUAAAAACAAAUGAGUUGAAAACAACACAGCGUGCCAUUUCCUAUAGAUCUCUUUCCUAUCCAUCUCUUCUGGGCUUUGGAACUCUUCAGCUAUUGAAUCAGGAUGUUUUACACACUAUGCGCCUCAGUGACCCUGCUCCGUGACUUUACAUGGUCUUCUGCUUUGUGGCUGAAUUGCUGCUGUUUCCAAUUGGACCACUGACAGAUGAAUGUGAAAUAUCUAGCAGGGAUGAAAGUUCAUGAACUGACUUAUUGUUUAUUAAAGGUGGCAUCCUAUCACACUAUCAUGUUUGAUUUCACAGAGCUCUUUAGAAUAACCCAUAUUUUUAUAUUUUUUUAUUGUUUGUAAAUACAGACUACAUGGCUAGGUGUUUGAUUUUAUACAAUAUUGUUUCACAUGCCAAUGUUUAUCGUCACAAAAAAAUGUUUUUUCGUAAUGGAGUUUGGAUCAAAGAUGCUACAACCCAAGACAAUUCAAGAUUGGAAAAAAAAUAUUGUGUUAGAAGAUGUGCAUAUGAUGAAAGCCUUGAUCCAUCAGAAGUGGAAAAUGCAGUCUGGGAUGUCCACUUAGAGAACUUUAGCAGCCUAGAAGAAGGAAAUCUGUGCAUGCCUGAGGAAGACAUGCAUUUCAAUGAAAUUCCAGACUCACCGGAAGGACUGCUUAAUUUAACAUCAGUUUCUGAUGACAGCAAUGAGCUCAGGCUUUUCCUGGAGCCCAGUGAAACAGAGUCUUCAGAUGAUGACAGUGACAGUGAAGAGGCAGUCUUUACAGAUGAGCAGAACCAUGAAGAUUCGGAUUUGGCAGAAGAUGAUAACACUGAAGCAGAUAAAACCAAUGGUGAUGGCGCCAGGCAGUUACUUGUAAAGCUCCUAGCAUUCAUGCUCUCACACAUACAUAUAUGUGCACAAAUACUGUAUAAACUGUAUGCAUAUUCAGUACACAUGUACACUAUAUACAGAAGGCUGGGGAAU